rnacentral:rRNA from 1 species
UCGAGAAUUUUUCACAAUGGGCGCAAGCCUGAUGGAGCGACGCCGCGUGGGGGAUGAAGGGUUUCGAUCCGUAAACCCCUGUCAUUUGCGAACAAACCUUGAUUGUGAAUAGCGAUCGAGCUGAUUGUAGCGGAAGAGGAAGGGACGGCUAACUCUGUGCCAGCAGCCGCGGUAAUACAGAGGUCCCAAGCGUUGUUCGGAUUCACUGGGCGUAAAGGGUGCGUAGGUGGUCGGUGAAGUUCGGUGUGAAAGCUCGGAGCUCAACUGCGAAACGGCAUUGAAAACUGAUCGGCUGGAGGGUCGGAGGGGAGACUGGAAUUCUCGGUGUAGCAGUGAAAUGCGUAGAUAUCGAGAGGAACACCAGUGGCGAAGGCGAGUCUCUGGACGACUCCUGACACUGAGGCACGAAAGCCAGGGGAGCAAACAG